UACGUAGGGGGCAAGCGUUGUCCGGAUUUAUUGGGCGUAAAGAGCGUGUAGGCGGCCGUACAGGUCAGCUGUGAAAACUCGAGGCUCAACCUCGAGACGUCGGUUGAAACCGUACGGCUAGAGUCCGGAAGAGGAGAGUGGAAUUCCCGGUGUAGCGGUGAAAUGCGCAGAUAUCGGGAAGAACACCCGUGGCGAAAGCGGCUCACUGGACCACAACUGACGCUGAGGCACGAAAGCUAGGGGAGCAAACAGG
rnacentral:rRNA from 1 species